AAAACAAAUUCAAGAAUCCAAUUUAAAGUCAGAAGUAAAUAUCCCUCUUUCCCACAGAUCAACAGUAAACUGGAAAUCCAUUCCUGCCUGUCCAGCUGUCUCCACUCCUGAUCCCUACUUACCUGGUCAGCUGUCAGCUUCACGGGCCCCACUGCUAUCCCAUCAUUCCCACAUUCUUCCUAGCUACCCAGUUAUUUCUUCCACUCCCCAGACCCAUAUCCUUCCAUCUGUCCCUUCUACUCUCCCAAAGGCCUUUUUACAAGUCAAGUAUCUCCCUCACCCUCCAGCCCCAGUUACGUCCAGUUUUUCUAGCAGUUUCCCUCGCCUACCAGCCCCCAUUCCUUCUGGUCUUCCUGACCAUCGACCUCACCCAUCCCAAAGUUCUCUGGUCAUUCCAGAUACUGACUCACAGAACAGAUUAUUUUACAAAACUUUCAAACCCAAACAUUUCCCUCCAGCUCAGCGUUCUACCCCAGCUACUCUAAUGCCUGCCCUUAUUCGUCGUUCCCUUCCAGCUCGACUAGUUGUUUCCCCAACCCCUUUGGAAACUCUCCCUGAUUUGAAGCCUUCCAGUUUACCCAGUCAUCUCCCUCAUCAACCAGUACCCCCUCUCUCUUGUAUCACUCCAUUACCUGAACAUUCUGCUAGGUUGGAUAAUUUUCAGUCAGUUCAAAAAUCUGUGUCACAAGCCGCAACAUUGUCAAAUCAGUCCCAGGCCUUUGUAGACCAUCUACCUGGCUCAGUUUUCUCCCAUCCACCUCCCUGUCAUUCUCCAUCCUCUUCUUUGCCUUCAUCCCCCUCUACUUCCACCUCCUCUUCGCCUUCAGUAGUGUUUUCUUCCUCUUCAUCCAUCUCUUCUUCUCCUUCUCCUCCCUCUUCUCCCAUUCCACGCUUACCUCCUCCAUCUCUUCCUCUUUUGCCCUCUCCUUUGCAUUUAUCUCCCUCUCCAUAUUUGCCUCCAACUUACUUAGCUUUUCCCUCUCCAGUUUCUCCUAUUUCUUCUUCCUUCGUGGUUUCUUCCUUUCCUCCCAUGCUUCACUCUGUCUCUAUUUCUACCUCCCCAUCUCCUUUUCUUCCUAUCCAUUCCUUCAAUCCUCCUCACUGGGGGAAGAAAGUAGAGAAGAGGAGAGAAGAAAGUGGAGUAGAGAAGAAAGGAAUAGAGAAGAAAAAGUUGAGAGACGACAACUUUAAAGAGCUAUAGAUUCUGCCUUGCCUUCAGCAUUGUCAGAAAAUGAUUACAAACAUCAAAAAUGUCUCGUACACAAAAUCCAGUGUGAUAAAGAAAUGAAAGAAAACACGGCAACCCUAUCUACUGACAAAAACAUAUUCCGGCUUAAACUGGAGGAAACUCAGAAACUCCUAGAGGAUCAGCAUCUAAGCAGUUUGCAAAAAUUUUGUGAUGAAGUUAAUCAGAUAACCAAUUCUGAAACUCUCUCAAGUAUAGACAGUCUUGAAGCUGGAGAGCAUGAAGAAAUAUAUUUAGCACUUAAUAUGGAGCCUUCUUUAUCAAGCCAGCAGAAUUCUGUUUCCCUCAAAUCAGCAAAUCUGUCAUCAGCUCAUUUAACCUGCUUUGAUGAGGAUAACCUGUCAUUCUCUAAAACUCAACAUAUAAAUAAUUGGCUUACAGAUUUAAAUGCUCAAAAUACUCAGUCCAUCAAGUCUUAUUCUGAUAUUUUAAGUAGAUCUAGUGUCCUACCUUCAUGGGAAUAUUUGGAUAAUAAAGAACAAAAUCCAUCUUCUUUGAGUAGAACUGUGGAGAGAACCACAAGUGCUAAUGAUUCAGUGGUCUUUGUCUAUAGUCGACCUGUAGUUACACUAGAUAAAAAAGAUGAAAACAUCUCAGAAACUAGCGCUGUGAAGACAAGUGACUGCACUGAUGGAGCCUUUAAAGGGGCACAACCGCCAGUGACUAAGAAACUGUCAGUUACCAAGAGCCCAGCAUUUCCAGUCAGUAAAGCCUCGACCAUACCAGAACAUCUAACCUGGGAAGCAGCUUCAUUUUCCAUCCAAGAGAAGCCACUUGAGUUAACUCGGGAAAAUAAAACCACUUCAAUUCCUGCUUCAUCUGUACCAGUGGCAACACCUUUAAUUUUGCCAUCUAAUUCACAGUCAGCUAGGCCUUUGGCAGAGAAUAUGCACAUAAAAGAAAUUGACCCCAUACAGUGUUCAGAUAAGUUAGGUGAAUUGAAAGAUGCUAAAAGCAAAAAGAUAAACUAUUUUAACUGUAAUAAAGAAGAGUUGUCUUUAUUUUCAGAUGAUUUUCGGGCCACCUGUAUACCUCAAAAUUCCAAUUCAAAAGAUAGAAAGCAAAAACCAGCCGAACCACCAGCUCCAUCAUCUACUAUAGUUGAUGACUGUGAGUUAAUUGACUGGCACAAGAAAAUGAAGUACAACACUCAUGAGCGAAACGGUGUGAGGUCACUUAAAAGUAUUUUAAAGAAAGAAUCUAAAUAUGAACCUGAUUAUCUUAAGGCAAUAAUUAUAAAUCAAGGCUUUAAGUUUAGGAAUCAAAAAGCAGAGGCUAUCAGAGAUAGCAUUGAAUUAACAAAACAAAAAGGGAGAGGUGCAGAAAUUCCAAAGACUAUUAAAAAACUGAGGUGGUUUGAUGAAACCGGUAACACAGAAAGCAGUGUGGGUGACCAUCACCCAGUGAAGAGCAGGGCAGGAGCCGCUCGGCAGUGGUCGCAGCCGUCUCAGGCUAAAAGCUCUACCAGCAGCAGCCUAAUUAGCGUUCUGGAUUGUGCUACAAAUUCUGCUGCUGGAAAGAAGUCCAAAGCUGAUGCUGUCUCUGAAAAGGUUGCUGAUUUAGGAGGAUGUGAAACAGACCAUGUGCCUUUGAACUCCUUUAUACCUUCAGACUGUAUCUUUACUAAACAAGCCUGGUCCACCUGCAGAAAAGAAGAAAGCAAAACCCCAGCACAUACUAGUGACUCUAAAAGUUUGAAAGGUAAACCUUACAGAGGAGCAAAAGCGAUCAGAAGAACAGGGUCUGCGAAAGUCCAGUCAGGCUUUGAAUGCAUGAACAGAAAAGCCACUGUCAUUCAGUCAGAGUCUGCAAGCAAAGCCAACAACACAUUGGUCCAAACUCAGGGUAAACUAAUUAUACCUCAUCCUCCUCCUAAACCACCAUCAAAUAUUAGAGGUGGUAAAAAUAUGCAUAUGUCUCAGUGUCAAUCAAUAAUGCCUGAAAAGUCUCAAAAUGUUACUGCACAUAACUGGCUUAGUUCAGCAUAUGCACUACCAACAGAACACACUCUAAACCAGUGGAAGCAAGAAAGUAGCCCUGCGCCCUCAGAUGCUUGUUCUGACCUGGUCACUGUGAUACCGUCCCUGCCAUCUUAUUCUUCUGAGUGCCAAACUUCAGCAAAACUGAAUCAUUCAAAUGCUACUCACAUGGCUUCCCAGCAAGAUAGGAUGUUAUAUUGUGUGCAGAGAAGUCCUGUUUGUGAAGAAAGUUCUCAGUCUCUGACUCAUAGGAAUACUGAGGAAGUUCUUUCAUGGAAAAGAAGGAGUAAUAGGCACCUAAAUGAGGGGGCCACUGAUUCUACUGUUACAAGAAGAAAAAGAAUUGUUGAGAAUAAAUGGAGAAACCUUUUAGAGCAGAAAAGGAAAAACUCUGGAUCUGUAGGCGCAAAGCACACUGAGCAAAUGAUCAAUUUUGGGCAAAGUGUCCAGCUAAGUUCAAGUGAGCCAAAACAAACUACAAGGGGCUCGUCUAAAACUGAAGAAGUUUCAGAUAGUACUUCUGAGUUUUUGAUGGCGGAAAACUUUGUGAACACUUCAGUACCUGAGGAUGAGAUUCUAACUGUUAUGAAUAGCAAGCAGAUGCAGAAACCAAAUCUGUCCAUAAAUAAGACGCAACAGUCCAACAUCUGUGCCCUGUCAUCUGAAGAGCAGAAGAUCCUACAGUCCCUUAACCGUCUCAAUGAAAGGCUGUACUACAUACAAGAAGCCAUUUGCAAAAAUCCAUCCAUCAAAAAUACUUUUCAGAUAAUACCACUUCUGGAAAAGGUAAGAUGGUGCAGAAACACUGUAUCUCUUACUACCAUCUCUUACAUGAAGCACAGUGUUCUCAGCUGUGUUCCCACGGUCCUGUUCUGACCCGGUGUGACAGUGAAUAACAGCAAAGGAGGAAGAAGCUGGCCUGCCCUCUGGAAGCUUCCUGCCCCUUGAGGCACUCAGUUCUCGGAGGCCUAACAGCCAGCCAAGGGACAGUCUGUCUCCUGAUGUUGGAUCCAGAGUGCAGAAAAAGUACUGAUGAAGUGUGAUAGUAAUUAUCUAAUGGAGUAAUUAUUUUUGAGAAUCUUCUGUAAAUAUAUCCCAUAUUUCUGCAUUUAUUAAUGAUUUAAAAUACUAUAACCAUAAAAGUAAAUUGUAAUAUAGGUAAUGGAUAAAUUUACUAGCUUACAUUUAUGCUACAAAUUAUACUUUAUUAUGUAUUUUAUUGAUACAUUUUAAUGAAUGGAAUUAUUUUAUUGUUUUCAAUAAGCAUGCUACUGAAUAUAAAUUUGUUCUAUUUAAAAAUAAAAGAUGCUAUUUUAUUAUUCAA